CCUACGGGAGGCAGCAGUGGGGAAUAUUGCGCAAUGGGCGAAAGCCUGACGCAGCGACGCCGCGUGAGGGAUGAAGGUCUUCGGAUCGUAAACCUCUGUCAGGAGGGAAGAAGUGGUUUUAUGCGAAUAGUUUAUGACUUUAACGGUACCUCCAAAGGAAGCACCGGCUAAUUCCGUGCCAGCAGCCGCGGUAAUAGGGAGGGUGCGAGCGUUAAUCGGAAUCACUGGGCGUAAGGCGCGCGUAGGCGGUUUUUCAAUUCAGGGGUGAAAGCCCACGGCCCAACCGGGGAACUGCCUUUGAAACUGGAGAGCUUGAGUGUCUGAGAGGGUGGCGGAAUUCCAGGUGUAGGAGUGAAAUCCGUAGAGAUGUGGAGGAACACCGGUGGCGAAGGCGGCCACCUGGACGACAACUGACGCUGAGGUGCGAAAGCGUGGGUAGCAAACAGGAUUAGAUACCCUGGUAGUC
rnacentral:rRNA from 1 species